GCGGAAGGCCGGGUGGCCGCACCUUCGGGUGAGGAAAGUCCGGACUCCACAGCGUAACGGCGGCGGGUAACGCCCGCCCGGGGCGCACCUGCGCCUUGAGGGAAAGCGCCACAGAAAACAGACCGCCCCGCCUGCGGGGUAAGGGUGAAACGGUGGGGUAAGAGCUCACCGCGCGGCUGGCAACAGACGCGGCACGGCAAGCCCCGCCGGGAGCAAGACCGAAUAGGGAUCGCAUGGGUGACAUCACCCGGGGGUGCGCUGCCCCUGGCAGAUCCGGGUAGGUUGCAAGAGCACGCGGGCAACCGCGCGCCCAGAUGAAUGGCCACCCAUGGGGUAUAUGCCCCUGGACAGAAUCCGGCUUACAGGCCUUCCGCGCCC
rnacentral:RNase_P_RNA from 1 species